CAUGUGGCAGGUGCAUUAAAAG
rnacentral:misc_RNA from 1 species